AGCCUGGGCUUGAGCGCGCGCAGAAGUCAGCUUCGUGACUUCCUUCUCAGGAUGGAACCAGCUUGGUGGCUUGAGGGAAAGGGGUUCUGAGUUGCAAAUCAGAAACUUGAAGAUGAAAUGGCUACUACGCUGGGUAUUGCCUUUAUCUUGAAUGCCAGCCUGAUGGUCCAAGGUGAACAAGCCUUCCUGUGUUUUCUGAAUGGUAAGAAAAAGUGGGGACACAAGGACAGCAGAAAAGGCAUAGGCUCUGAUUCCGGCUGAUCUCGGCCUGGGUCUCCCUGCCUGGGGAAGGAGGUGUAUGUGUGUGUGCUAAUAUAUAUGUGGUGCUAAUGUAUAAUACAUAUGCUUAUAUGGUGAUAUGGUUUGGCUGUGUCCCCCCUCAAAUCUCAUCUUGAAUGGUAGCUCACAUAAUUCCCAUGUGUCACGGGAGGGACCUGGUGAGAGGUAACUGAAUCAUGGGGACGGGUUUUUCCUGUGCUGGUUCUCGUGAUAGUGAAUAAGUCUCACGAUAUCUUAUGGUUUUAUAAAGUGCAGUUCCCCCGCACUUUGCCUGCCACCAUGUAAGAUGUGUCUUUGCGCCUCCUUUGCCUUCCACCAUGAUUGUGCGGCCUCCCCAGCCAUGUGGAACGGUGAGUCUAUUAAACCUCUUUUUCUUUACAAAUUA
ensembl:lncRNA RPAP3-DT RPAP3 divergent transcript